CGGUGGAGCAUGUGGUUAAUUCGAAGCAACGCGAAGAACCUUACCAGGUCUUGACAUCCUUUUGAAUGGUCUAGAGAUAGAUCAGGCCUUCGGGACAGAAGAGACAGGUGGUGCAUGGUUGUCGUCAGCUCGUGUCGUGAGAUGUUGGGCUAAGUCCCGCAACGAGCGCAACCCUUAUCAUUAGUUGCUAACAUUCAGUUGAGAACUCUAAUGAGACUGCCAGUGAUAAACUGGAGGAAGGUGGGAUGACGUCAAAUCAUCAUGCCCCUUAUGACCUGGGCUACACACGUGCUACAAUGGCCGGUACAAAGAGUUGCGAAACUGUGAAGUUAAGCUAAUCUCAUAAAGCCGGUCUCAGUUCGGAUUGUAGUCUGCAACUCGACUACAUGAAGUCGGAAUCGCUAGUAAUCGCGAAUCAGAAUGUCGCGGUGAAUACGUUCUCGAGUCUU
rnacentral:rRNA from 1 species